rnacentral:rRNA from 1 species
UGAGGAAUAUUGGUCAAUGGACGCAAGUCUGAACCAGCCAAGUAGCGUGCAGGAUGACGGCCCUAUGGGUUGUAAACUGCUUUUAUAUGGGGAUAAAGUGGGGAACGUGUUCCCUUUUGCAGGUACCAUAUGAAUAAGGACCGGCUAAUUCCGUGCCAGCAGCCGCGGUAAUACGGAAGGUUCGGGCGUUUUCCGGAUUUAUUGGGUUUAAAGGGAGCGUAGGCCGUUUGGUAAGCGUGUUGUGAAAUGUAGGAGCUCAACUUCUAGAUUGCAGCGCGAACUGUCAGACUUGAGUGCGCACAACGUAGGCGGAAUUCAUGGUGUAGCGGUGAAAUGCUUAGAUAUCAUGAAGAACUCCGAUUGCGAAGGCAGCUUACGGGAGCGCAACUGACGCUGAAGCUCGAAGGUGCGGGUAUCGAACAGG